UUCAACAACUAUCUUUUACAAAAGGUUGACACGUUUGCUCUCUCUCUCUCUCUCUAGAAGCCCAAUUGCAAAGCCUUGUCUUUGGCUUCAAGUUUCAGUCGUCACCCCUUGCUCUUGCUCAGGGUAGGUGGCAGUCUGUUACUUCCUCCUUCCUCCUUCUUUUCUCCUUCCCUCGUUAGCCUUUUCCAUCUUUUUCCUCUCCUCUCACUUCCUCUACCCCAUCCCCCUCCCUGCAUCAACCACUUCUUCCUCUCCCCUUUCCACUCUCCUUAUUUCAUUUUAUUCCUGGUUUGCCCUAAGUUUAUCUCAUUUUUUUCUGAGUCGAAUCUUAACUAUCCCCUGAGCUUGUCUCAGAUUUGGGCUUCAUGCCCCUUAUAUGACAUCUUUUGCCUACGUUUACUGCUUUAUGUCUUUUACCUUUUCUUCCUCCUUCCUCCUUAGCUGUGAUAAUCCAUCCCCAUCCCACAUGUACUCAGAUCAGCGGGCUGAUCAGAAAUUGGAUACAAAAUCUACUACACCCUUCACUUCCCCUCCCCCAACCGGCAUGCCGAAUCCUUAUCAAGGCCAAAUGUUAGGUGUUUUACAUACCCCUUUGCCUCAUUCUCUACCCAUAUGAUCAUUUGUUUGUAUAUAUUUGCAGGGACUCGUAAAGGGGACUUGGAUCUAGUGUCUACUUUCUCGGUUCAGAGUUUGACUUCCUCCAAGGAUGUGACGGUGGCGGUGGUCUGGUUUAUGUAGACUGAGAUUAGGGUUUUUUUGUUGUUGUUUGUUGUUGUAGCCUUCGGGCCUAAGUUUGUGAGGACCUCCCGUGUAUCUUAGGUUGCAACUCUCAUUUUACUUGGACCUUUUACCUUAUCUGUUAUUUGUUUAUCGGGUUCCUUUUGGACCUUGUACUAGUUUUUUAAUGUAAUGAAACUUCUGUUGACAAAAAAAAAAAAAA
rnacentral:lncRNA from 1 species